rnacentral:misc_RNA from 1 species
GAUGAAGAACGUAGCGAAAUGCGAUAAGUAAUGUGAAUUGCAGAAUUCAGUGAAUCAUCGAAUCUUUGAACGCACCUUGCGCCCUUUGGACAUUCCGAAGGGCAUGCCUGUUUGAGUAUCAUGAACACCUCAACUCUCACGGCUUGUCCGUGAUGAGCUUGGACUUUGGGGGUCUUGCCGGCCUGUGGUCGGCUCCUCUCAAAUGGAUCAGCUUGCCAGUGUUUGGUGGCAUCACAGGUGUGAUAACUAUCUGCGCUUGUGGUUUUCCAUCAGAUAACCUUCAGUGAUUUGGAGGUUCGCUGGAGCUCACAAAUGUCUCUCCUUAGUGAGGACAGCUCUUUGAACGUUUGAUCUCAAAUCAGGUAGGACUACCCGCUGAACUUAAGCAUAUCAAUAAGCGGAGGA